UGUUACAAGAAAGCAGGCCCCUCAGCUCUCUCUCAGCCCCAGGCCUCCGUUGCCGAACCGGUCACCGUCCUCCGCGCCGUCCGCAGCGCCGGCCACCGUACACUGUGGCCGGAAAUCGCCCUUAGGCAAAUGGCGGUGGAGGCAGGUACCACUUCCACUGGAGAUGUGACUGGGGGCGGUAGGAUUAGGUGAUUUAGGGUUUCAAAUUCUGAAACCCUAAAUUUAGGCUAGUUGGGUCAAAUUGGGGUUAGAGUCUGUUUGGUUUUUAGGGGUUAUUUGGGCUUUGGGGUUAUUUGGUUUAAUUUGAGUAUGAGUCUGGGGCCAAACGGGCUUGUACAAGUGGAAUUUAUCUUUUAGCUACUUUUCAGCUAUUUGUUUGGGUAUAAAUUGUUGAGACAUGUCUUCGUUUGGGUUCAAGUUGUAGACAAAUAUAGUUGAAUAUUGCAUUCAAGAAAUGGAAACUCAAGUGAAGUACAUGUGGGUUAUGGUGUUUAUUGUGAGUAUAAGCAUUGUAGGGUUCCAAGGAGUCGAUGCAACUCAUGAUUAUUAUGGUCCUUGCGGGAAACAUGACAUAGAGAGGGAAGCUCAAAUGAUGUCUCCUUGUACAUACGUAGCCAAAUACUGGAGAGCUCCAGUUUUCAAGCGCUGUUGUGCUAUAAUAAAGAAAAAGCUCAGCAAUCCAAACUAUCUCUGUGUUAUUUUUCAAACUCGUAUGUCGAAGUGAGAAAUGAAAUCCAAUUGUAACUAGCUUUUUCAAA